GAAAUGCGAUAAGUAAUGUGAAUUGCAGAAUUCAGUGAAUCAUCGAAUCUUUGAACGCACAUUGCGCCCCCUGGUAUUCCGGGGGGCAUGCCUGUUCGAGCGUCAUUUCACCACUCAAGCCUCGCUUGGUAUUGGGCAACGCGGUCCGCCGCGUGCCUCAAAUCGACCGGCUGGGUCUUCUGUCCCCUAAGCGUUGUGGAAACUAUUCGCUAAAGGGUGUUCGGGAGGCUACGCCGUAAAACAACCCCAUUUCUAAGGUUGACCUCGGGUCAGGUAGGGAUACCCGCUGAACUUAAGC
rnacentral:misc_RNA from 1 species